GGGGUCGCGUCCUAUCAGCUUGUUGGUGGGGUGAUGGCCUGCCAAGGCUUCGACGGGUAGCCGGCCUGAGAGGGCGACCGGCCACAUUGGGACUGAGAUACGGCCCAGACUCCUACGGGAGGCAGCAGUGGGGAAUAUUGCACAAUGGGCGAAAGCCUGAUGCAGCGACGCCGCGUGCGGGAUGACGGCCUUCGGGUUGUAAACCGCUUUUGAUUGGGAGCAAGCGAGAGUGAGUGUACCUUUCGAAUAAGCACCGGCUAACUACGUGCCAGCAGCCGCGGUAAUACGUAGGGUGCAAGCGUUAUCCGGAAUUAUUGGGCGUAAAGAGCUCGUAGGCGGUUCGUCGCGUCUGGUGUGAAAGUCCAUCGCUUAACGGUGGAUCUGCGCCGGGUACGGGCGGACUGGAGUGCGGUAGGGGAGACUGGAAUUCCC
rnacentral:rRNA from 1 species